CAGGGUUGAGGCAGCAGUCUGCUGAUGGCAGCCAGAACAACAACACCUGGCUAAACAGCUGCUCAGGAACACCUUGGAGGGUGGUUUCUUUUCCCUUAUCCCUCAUCUCUGGUAGUGGGGAGAGAUGUCACAAAGAAUACUUUCUUCCUCCAUUUCCACAGAGGGGAAGGAGACAGCACUGAAUGAUCAUCCCCUGGGAAAAUAUGGAUAUAGGCAAAUCACUCUCUCCAAGGAAGGAGUCUUGGGGUAGCAGGAGAAGAGGACAGACGAAGGAAAUUCUGUGGCUUCCAACAGAUUGGGCUUUUUGUGGUCAUAGGGGAUUGUGGUCUGGGUUGCGUUUCAGGAAACACAGGUUCUGGUUCUUAAUUCAGUAGGGAAACGAGGCAUGUGUCUGCAAUUGGACCCCUGAGGACUAUUAAUGGGGCACCUACAAAUCGGCACAGGUGGGUUCCCAACCACAUUAAACAACAAAAUGGCUCACAGAAGUUCUUCUGUAUCACAGGUCACUGAAGAAGGAAUCCGCUUUACUUCAGUUCAAAUUUUUGGUGAGCAGAUGUCUUUGGACAAUUAGCCCCUUUUCAAACUGACUUUGACUGAAUGCUCAUUUUAGAGUGCUCAGAAUACCUGUUUCUCAUUAGUCAAGAGCGAUACACUAUCUAAGAGCACUCCAGAUCCUGAAUACCUAAUAAUUAUAGAAGAGUAGUAAUUAAGCACAUCUUAGUAAAAAAGUUAUAUAUAACAAUUUAUGUAUUUUACAGUCUCUACAGUGUACAAAAAAAAAGUUCAUGGAACAACUGUGUGUUAGAACUUCACACUAAAUUUUUUGUAUGAAAAAAAGUGCUAAGUGUAUAUGAAGCUUUGUUUAAAAAUGUAGGGCUUUGCUGGGAUUAUGCUUCAUUUAUUAGAAAAAAAAGUUACAUAAUUGAAAUCAAGAGUAGUUACAUAGGAAAAGUAAGGCUUUGGGUAGUUUUGAUUUCUGUUCUAAGAAGAUUAAGUAAGCUCAGUUUAAAUGAAUGCUUACCAUUGUCAAUAACUAGCUAAUAUAUAUUGGCAAUAAAACACUACCUCUUUGACUAAAUACUGGA